CACAUUUUCCCUGGUGCUACAAGGAGUUUCCAGUCAGGUUCACGGUGACGGUGGGAAAGGAAGACGGGAUAUUUCAGCCCCGGAGUUUUGCUCAGUCGGUCUAUUUGCACAGACAGUCAACAAGAUGACUUAUUGAAAGACCUGGAAAACAUCACCAUGGGCAUAUGUGUAAUCAAAAAGAAAGAAGGUGUUCUUGGCGACUAUGACGAUAUUGGAAUCGUUGUUGGAGUGAUGAUUCUUGAGCAGCUCAAAUCUGUGGCACAAGCCUGCAUUGAUGCUGGGUACAAUCUAUGUGCUUAAUUUGGCGUACCCCAAAGAACUAAAAUACUACUUUUUUGAAAUUUUUUAGAAAUUCAUUAUGCAGAUGGAUUCUAAAGCUCUCCCCAAAAAUUCAAGGACUGAAAACAUUUUAAUACUGAAAUGUUGUAGCAGACAUGUAUGUGCAUGCUCAGCAUGAAAUGUUAUUCCAGAUGUCACAGUCUACUCUGUUUUUCAUUUAAGACCUGGGAAUCAGUAGUUUUAAACAUUUUAAUAAUGCUUUUAAUGAUUCAUAACUGUUGUCUGUAAAAAUGUGUCACUUUUUUUAAAAUAAUUAUUGUGCAUGUGUGAAGUCAGCACUACUGUUUUUGACUUUUGUGCUGUUUUAUUUAUUCACAAACAUUGUGGCCUCUUUCCCUCUGUGUUUUUUUAUUUUAUAUUUUGUAAAUGUGCAGUGAGCACUUGUUUUAAACACUUACACACAAAGAAAUUGUUAUUGAACAUGCACUACAUUUGCUGACAUUAAAAAAUAACAUUAAACUUA